rnacentral:lncRNA from 1 species
UGUAACUAUGCAUCCAUCCCUGUUUCACUGAAAACCUGAGCACUCAACACACAAAACACAAAAGACACAGAAAAGACAACCAAAAUUCAAAUUAACAUUCUCUGUGCUAUGUCUUUUCCCAUGUGUCUCUACAAAUAGCCUUUGUUUCCAGAGCUAAUUUUUGUUGAAUGAAAUGACUUCGGGCAAGUCUCUUUUAUAAUCAUUUUUCAAGUGCCAUUUGUGUGUGAGAGUAUGUGAGUGUGUGUGUGAGUGUGUCAGAGUGUGUGUGUGUGUGUAUGUUCUGUGUUUGUAAGUAUGAACAAAUUAUUUUCUAAAACAUGCCAAAUGGAUAGAAAUAGAAAACAAUGUUUAGAAACAUGUCCAUGAAACUUUCAGGCCUGACUGGGUACAAUUAAAAAAACUUACAGUGUACUUUUAUACCUGUAUACAUGUUACCAAUAAUAAGAUUUUGUAACUGGAUGAUGUGAGGUUUUACUUGAAUAAUGAGGGGGAAAGAUCAGUACUGUAGCAGGUAUUUUUUUUUUUCAUCUGUGAUUUCUGCAGACGUUCUCCUUCAAUGCUAGUGAUCUUAAACAUUAAAAGGCAAUUGUUAAGGUUUGGUUGCUUAAUGUAAAGAUACAAUUUGUCUGUAUUGUACCUUCUUCAUAGGAUUGUAAGGGUGUUCUAAUCAUUUUGCAUGUCAUAAAUCUUUUAGAUGUGUAUGUGUGUUAAAUGUAUGGAGUUUGGAUUAAACUGUUGACCUGA